rnacentral:tRNA from 1 species
GUGGAUAUAGCUCAGUGGUAGAGCACUUGCUUAGCAUGCACGAGGCCCUGGGUUCAAUUCCCUAGUACUGCCA